rnacentral:tRNA from 1 species
GAAGGCAUAGCUCAAAUGGUAGACUGCACGCUUAGCAUGCAUGAGGUCUUGGGUUCAAUCCCCAGUACCUCCU